rnacentral:lncRNA from 1 species
CUUCCCUCCCCGUGGAGCUGACACAGCACCUGGACGUCUGCUACCUAAGGUCUGGGUUCAGGAACUGAGAAGUGGGUGCUUCCCUCCCCGUGGAGCUGACACAGCACCUGGACGUCUGUUACCUACGGUCUGGGUUCAGGAACUGAGAAGUGGGUGCUUCCCUCCCCGUGGAGCUGACACAGCACCUGGACGUCUGUUACCUAAGGUCUGGGUUCAGGAACUGAGAAGUGGGUGCUUCCCUCCCCGUGGAGCUGACACAGCACCUGGACGUCUGUUACCUAAGGUCUGGGUUCAGGAACUGAGAAGUGGGUGCUUCCCUCCCCGUGGAGCUGACACAGCACCUGGACGUCUGUUACCUAAGGUCUGGGUUCAGGAACUGAGAAGUGGGUGCUUCCCUCCCCGUGGAGCUGACACAGCACCUGGACGUCUGUUACCUAAGGUCUGGGUUCAGGAACUGAGAAGUGGGUGCUUCCCUCCCCGUGGAGCUGACACAGCACCUGGACGUCUGUUACCUAAGGUCUGGGUUCAGGAACUGAGAAGUGGGUGCUUCCCUCCCCGUGGAGCUGACACAGCACCUGGACGUCUGUUACCUAAGGUCUGGGUUCAGGAACUGAGAAGUGGGUGCUUCCCUCCCCGUGGAGCUGACACAGCACCUGGACGUCUGUUACCUAAGGUCUGGGUUCAGGAACUGAGAAGUGGGUGCUUCCCUCCCCGUGGAGCUGACACAGCACCUGGACGUCUGUUACCUAAGGUCUGGGUUCAGGAACUGAGAAGUGGGUGCUUUCUUCCCCGUGGAGCUGACGCAGCACCUGGACAUCUGUUACCCUCGUCUUCCCCGCUGAGCACACACUGACUUCUUUAGCACUGUCCUGAGUCACGGAGCUAAGGCAGUGCCCUCAUGGAGGCCGUUGAUGAUGGCAGGAUGCGCCAAGUGAAGGAGCAAUUUCAGGACGGCAGGGCCACAGCUGACCUCAUGGCGCUCAGGACAGACAGUGCAUCUGGUUUGUACAAGAACCCCAGGGUAAAGUGUGAUUCAAUAGCUUCACCUCUGCAAUGCCAAGCAGCCGAGGGAUGUGUGGCUCACAGAGCUCCUGCCACCUGGCCCCUCAGCAAUGGGGCAGCUUGGUGCCACCGCCCCUCUCUGCAGCCCUUCAACAAAGGGGUGUGCCCACAGCUCUUUCAGACACAGUCUGGCCUCCUCCUGACACUGACCCUCAGGCACACAGGGACACAGACAUCUCAGAGGCCAUGCUGUGUGGAGCCCGACUUCUCCCAAGUGGCAAUGGCCAGGUGAGUUCUGCACCCACCUCUGCCCUCUGAACACCCUCAUCCCUCC